UACGUAGGGUGCGAGCGUUGUCCGGAAUUAUUGGGCGUAAAGAGCUCGUAGGCGGUGUGUCACGUCGGCCGUGAAAACCUGAAGCUUAACUGUGGGCGUGCGGUCGAUACGGGCAUCACUGGAGUUCGGCAGGGGAGACUGGAAUUCCUGGUGUAGCGGUGAAAUGCGCAGAUAUCAGGAGGAACACCGGUGGCGAAGGCGGGUCUCUGGGCCGAUACUGACGCUGAGGAGCGAAAGCGUGGGGAGCGAACAGG
rnacentral:rRNA from 1 species